GUAGUCGCUGAUUCAACUUUUUAUGUUGGUCCCAAUAUAGAGAGAUGCACACCACAUAAGCCAGGAAUGAUGCCAAAAGUCAGGUGUCUGCCGUCCAGCAGCAUGAUAUUUGCUUAUAAACAAGCUUUAUCAAACAUCGGGCGACACGUGGAGUGAGGCACCAUCUAUUAAAAAUUCUCUGUGCUCCUCGCCAAUAUCGGUGGGGCGCAGUGAA
rnacentral:sRNA from 1 species